rnacentral:rRNA from 1 species
AGCGGCCAAGCGAAAGCGUUAAGUCGACCGCCUGGGGAGUACGGCCGCAAGGUUAAAACUCAAAUGAAUUGACGGGGGCCCGCACAAGCGGUGGAGCAUGUGGUUUAAUUCGAUGCAACGCGAAGAACCUUACCUGGUCUUGACAUCCACGGAAGUUUUCAGAGAUGAGAAUGUGCCUUCGGGAACCGUGAGACAGGUGCUGCAUGGCUGUCGUCAGCUCGUGUUGUGAAAUGUUGGGUUAAGUCCCGCAACGAGCGCAACCCUUAUCCUUUGUUGCCAGCGGUCCGGCCGGGAACUCAAAGGAGACUGCCAGUGAUAAACUGGAGGAAGGUGGGGAUGACGUCAAGUCAUCAUGGCCCUUACGACCAGGGCUACACACGUGCUACAAUGGCGCAUACAAAGAGAAGCGACCUCGCGAGAGCAAGCGGACCUCAUAAAGUGCGUCGUAGUCCGGAUUGGAGUCUGCAACUCGACUCCAUGAAGUCGGAAUCGCUAGUAAUCGUGGAUCAGAAUGCCACGGUGAAUACGUUCCCGGGCCUUGUACACACCGCCCGUCACACCAUGGGAGUGGGUUGCAAAAGAAGUAGGUAGCUUAACCUUCGGGAGGGCGCUUACCACUUUGUGAUUCAUGACUGGGGUGAAGUCGUAACAAGGUAACCGUAGGGGAACCUGCGGUUG